rnacentral:tRNA from 1 species
GGAGGUGUGGCCGAGUGGUUUAAGGCACCGGUCUUGAAAACCGGCGAAGGAGCAAUCCUUCCGUGGGUUCCUAUACAGACCUCCA